UGGGGAAUAUUGCACAAUGGGGGAAACCCUGAUGCAGCAACGCCGCGUGAGUGAUGACGGUCUUCGGAUUGUAAAGCUCUGUCUUUAGGGACGAUAAUGACGGUACCUAAGGAGGAAGCCACGGCUAACUACGUGCCAGCAGCCGCGGUAAUACGUAGGUGGCAAGCGUUGUCCGGAUUUACUGGGCGUAAAGGGAGCGUAGGUGGAUAUCUAAGUGGGAUGUGAAAUACCCGGGCUUAACCUGGGUGCUGCAUUCCAAACUGGAUAUCUAGAGUGCAGGAGAGGAAAGGAGAAUUCCUA
rnacentral:rRNA from 1 species